rnacentral:rRNA from 1 species
UACGUAGGGACCAAGCGUUGUUCGGAUUUACUGGGCGUAAAGGGCGCGUAGGCGGCAAUUCAAGUCAUUUGUGAAAUCUCCGGGCUUAACUCGGAAUGGUCAGGUGAUACUGCUUUGCUAGAGUGCAGAAGGGGCAAUCGGAAUUCUUGGUGUAGCGGUGAAAUGCGUAGAUAUCAAGAGGAACACCUGAGGUGAAGACGGGUUGCUGGGCUGACACUGACGCUGAGGCGCGAAAGCUAGGGGAGCAAACGGG